GAGAACUAUUAUCUAGGGUAUCUGAUCUAAUGAAGCCUGUCAGUAGGACGGUGGAGAACUAUUAUCUAGGGUAUCUGAUCUAAUUAAGCCUGCAUAGUUCCAUGUUGAAAGUGCCUACAUAUAUGUUGUUUUUAUCACUCAUUUUAAGUGUGUUAUAGUGUAUGCAAUGAUUUAAUUGUUGGUGAUUUGUAUUUUGUUUGUUUAGUUGUGGUUCUUUAAGCUAGACCUUGAUUUGAUGACUGUUGAGUGAUACUAAAAGCUUAACAGUGAAGGUCAUGAAGUGUACUCCGUACAGAGAUGACUCCUCCGUUUUCAGGAAAAUUGUAAUGAUAACUACUCCCUUCUUGUUAUCCGUGUUCAGGGAUGCCAACCUCUACGAUUUUAUCAUAGUCACUACAAAUUUUAGCCAGUAGUAUACACAAUGGGGCUACGGGACCAGGUCCCCCCCUGAGCCCUUGAGGAAUCCAUAAUCCCCUAGCCCCAUUGUGUAUACUACUACUGAGGUGCAUGCAAAAUUUGAUGAAAAUCGGUCGAAUAGUUUCUGAAAUAUUGACUUUUUAAGUGAUUAUGGGGUCGGUCGGGAAAAGGCAAAUGUCCAACUUUUUGUCGUAAUUAAGUCUUAAUUAAUCUAAUGAAGUCACUGAGAGUGUUCCCAGUGCCAUUUUGCUUUAGCGUAACCAUCUGCAAAGAUGCUUACAAAAUUUCAC